AUGUACAUGAGGCACCAGGCGACAGUACUGCUGCUGCCUGCUGCACCGUUGAUCGCUCCCACCAACUCUGAUGCAAGUGGCCGACCAUCUCCGCCGGCUGCAGAUGUGCAGGCUAGAACAACAGGCAUCUGUACAUCGGGGAGUGACGAGUCAGUAUCUGCCAGGACAGCUGAAAUAUUGCCAACUCUACUGGCAAUGAAGGAUGCUGCUGUGAGCCAUGCCACCCCAUCAGCAAGCCUUGAAGUGGACGCUCCCAGGACGAACCUAAGCAAGGAAGAUUCCCGCUCAUCUGACACUGAUUCCAAGCGCGUGCGUGGUCGCACUCCUGUGUCCACGACAGAGGCGGCUGAGGCGGCAGUUCACAAGGAUAUGCCAUCUAUAGGUGAGAGUCCUGGCACAACAGCUCCAGCUCCUGUCGGUGCAGAUACUGCUAAGGCGACUGUUUCGCAUGCUGGUCUUCCACCUAGGCGCCGUAGCCCCCGCAAGCAACCAACAGACAUACCCAACGCAUCGGCUGCAGCUAGGAGCAGGAGAGACGAGCCUGGUUAUGUUCCUGCGUCCACACUGUUCCCGCCACCUGCCAAAAGCAAUGUGAUGGAGAAACCGGAAGACCGGAGCACAACUGAUGCAGGUGUCAAGCCGGGCACGAGUGACGUAGGUGAACGCCCGGAGCAGACUGCGCCUUUACCCGCAUUGGAAAUCCCCAGCAUAAAUCUGCGCACUUCUAGGCUCCCAGUCAAUGUCGGUGUCCCCUACAGCCCAAACAAGAAGAUUGUCAAGAAAGUUGUGGCUGAUACCGCUGACAACACGCCCCGUCCUGCAAAUAAGUCCGAUCAUUCUGUAGCGGCCGAUUCAGAUAUGUUUGUCGAUCUUUCACCCUUGGAUUCUGCCCCAUAA
rnacentral:rRNA from 1 species